ACAGAUGUCUUGGCAAAUGGUACCCCGGUUUCUUUCUAGCUGUCACUGAAUGUGCUGAAGCAGAGAUAAAAGAGUUCCUCUGGCUGCAGGUGAGCACUCCUGCUUCCUGUCCCUGGGAUGUACCAGAGGCUGCUGAUACACAGGAGGAAGACCCAAUGCAGGAUGAUUAUUUGAUCAACACUUUCUAACCUUUACUAGUCUCUCUUUAAAAAAGAGAGAGAGAGAGAAAAUACAUCUCAAGCUGGGAGCCUUCAUCAGGCAAUGCAGCCAGAAGUUGAGUCAGAAAAGAAAUUCAUCACAUCUUAUCAGAAUUGUAAUUGUCUGGACCUUAACCAGUUGUGCCAACCAAGUUACGUUCCCCCAGAGAGCCAGGGUACAAGUUUAAAAAUCGUAUGAUGAACAUCUGCUUUCUGUCCUCUCACUGUGUCUCUGUGACAGAUCGUCUACAUGCCAAGGAAGCCAGGGGUGGGUCCUCAUCUUGUUUUAUUCAUCAUCAUAUCCCCAGCGCAUAUCCACGUGAACACCACAUACAUGGAAGAUGCACAGUUGGCGCUUGUUGCUUGACUGAUGGCAGUUAAGCAGCUCUGCUUCUCAGGGAAGAAUGUCACAGUCACAGACUUUCUACCCAGGGCCCCAGGAGGCCAUGAUAUCAGGAAAUUUCCUGGGAAUUGGGCCAUAACUGCUUCCUCCCAUACCAAAAUAGAAAAAAAAAAUAAAGUCCAG
rnacentral:lncRNA from 1 species